AGUGAACGCUGGCGGUAGGCCUAACACAUGCAAGUCGAACGGCAGCACAGGAGAGCUUGCUCUCUGGGUGGCGAGUGGCGGACGGGUGAGGAAUACAUCGGAAUCUACUUUUUCGUGGGGGAUAACGUAGGGAAACUUACGCUAAUACCGCAUACGACCUACGGGUGAAAGCAGGGGACCUUCGGGCCUUGCGCGAUUGAAUGAGCCGAUGUCGGAUUAGCUAGUUGGCGGGGUAAAGGCCCACCAAGGCGACGAUCCGUAGCUGGUCUGAGAGGAUCAUAAGCCACACUGGAACGGAGACACGGUCCAGACUCCUACGGGAGGCAGCAGUGGGGAAUAUUGGACAAUGGGCGCAAGCCUGAUCCAGCCAUACCGCGUGGGUGAAGAAGGCCUUCGGGUUGUAAAGCCCUUUUGUUGGGAAAGAAAUCCAGCCGGUUAAUACCUGGUUGGGAUGACGGUACCCAAAGAAUAAGCACCGGCUAACUUCGUGCCAGCAGCCGCCGUAA
rnacentral:rRNA from 1 species